GACCAAUGGCUCUCUAGUUGAAACUAGGGGGGUCGGUGGAAGGUUGGUUAAACUGUUUGGUUUUCGACCACUAUGACCCGGGUUCGAUUCCCGCAUUGGGCA